rnacentral:lncRNA from 1 species
AUUUUUUCACCAGUGGAUGGUCAGUCUGAAAAAGCGCAUUAUCAUUCAGGCCAAGAGUGAGGAUGGACCGAUAAAAGCCCAUUAUUGAUGACAAAACUAAGAUUUGAGCCCGUUAUGUGUUGCUGUGUGGAGAUUAGCGCAGGAGUCACGAUGGGAAAGAUGCAGCAGAGCUGCUGAGUUCAUCAUUUUGCUCUGAAUCUGAAUAUCUCUGAGUUCGAUUUUCAGUUUAUCUUUUUCUUUUCUGGAUGAAUACUUUCCGGGUGAUCUCAAUAUGCUUCUGAAUAAGUGCGAUUCAUGAGCAGGUUUGAUAUUAUUUUACAGCAUUUGACUAAUUGAAGGAAAUCCAUCCUAUUUGAUUGUAGGAUUAAGAUGAUGAUGAUGAUGAUGAUACCAAUGCUCUGAGGAGUGAUAUUCUUAUACCAUAUUCCCAGGAACCGGUUUCUUGAUCUCAGCGGGCUAAAAAAUCCCAACUCAAAUCUUCCUCCUGCUGAAGCUAGCAUCUCACCAUCUAUCAGGGUCUCGCCUGGUUUAAGGGUAUCCUGAGCACUACAAGUUGUUGAGAAGUGGAAUAUGAAGGCGCAUACAAGCACUAUUAUGCCUGCCAUAAGCCUUCUAUGUGAUUCAACAGAUUCAAAUGCAUAAGAACAAUACUAUGUACGUGAAGAAAGAGGGAAAUUAUAAAGAAGUGAGAAAUGAAGCGGGAUUCCAAAUUGUUGAUCUGUCAGCAUGCAGAAGACAAAGUUGACCAAGCUGCUAAAAUAAUUUGUAAGUCAACAAACAAAGUUCCUGGCAGUUUCCCAUUUAAAGAUUAUCUUAGUUUACCUUCCUUGCUAGAAUUUUCAUGGACAAAGAUGUUUUGUGAUUUUCAAUGAGACAAUGACGUGUUUGGCAUAACAGUGCUGGUCAUGGUUGAAGUUUAAAUGUACUGUCAAGGUCCAGAGAAAUAGGCUAAUGUUUUUGUCCUAAUUUUCAAUUAGGUUCUUACUCUUUCAUUUAAUAUUAUAAUUACAAUAAUGAGACUAAUAUAAUUGUUAUUACAAUUGAACCAAAAUAUCUGACUAUCUCCAUCUCUUAGGGGCUGCUCUAGAUUACUGGUAUCUUGAGCGAUGCAAGUUCUUGAGAAGCUGAAUAUUAAGGCAAAUGCAAGCACUGCUUACUCUUUUGCUACUUGCUUGCUGCUGUCAAUUCUGCAGUUCAGAGGUCCAUUUGAUAUUAAUUUUUAUGUAAUAUCUUCUCUUGUACUGGCUCGAAAUAGAUGGCAAGGCCAGGUGGUACACACAUCAAAUAUCUGCUAGUUGGUAGAGUUGCAAAUAAUUGAAGUAGG